AACCUGAAACCGUGUACGUACAAGCAGUGGGAGCACGCUUAGGCGUGUGACUGCGUACCUUUUGUAUAAUGGGUCAGCGACUUAUAUUCUGUAGCAAGGUUAACCGAAUAGGGGAGCCGAAGGGAAACCGAGUCUUAACUGGGCGUUAAGUUGCAGGGUAUAGACCCGAAACCCGGUGAUCUAGCCAUGGGCAGGUUGAAGGUUGGGUAACACUAACUGGAGGACCGAACCGACUAAUGUUGAAAAAUUAGCGGAUGACUUGUGGCUGGGGGUGAAAGGCCAAUCAAACCGGGAGAUAGCUGGUUCUCCCCGAAAGCUAUUUAGGUAGCGCCUCGUGAAUUCAUCUCCGGGGGUAGAGCACUGUUUCGGCAAGGGGGUCAUCCCGACUUACCAACCCGAUGCAAACUGCGAAUACCGGAGAAUGUUAUCACGGGAGACACACGGCGGGUGCUAACGUCCGUCGUGAAGAGGGAAACAACCCAGACCGCCAGCUAAGGUCCCAAAGUCAUGGUUAAGUGGGAAACGAUGUGGGAAGGCCCAGACAGCCAGGAUGUUGGCUUAGAAGCAGCCAUCAUUUAAAGAAAGCGUAAUAGCUCACUGGUCGAGUCGGCCUGCGCGGAAGAUGUAACGGGGCUAAACCAUGCACCGAAGCUGCGGCAGCGACACUGUGUGUUGUUGGGUAGGGGAGCGUUCUGUAAGCCUGUGAAGGUGUACUGUGAGGUAUGCUGGAGGUAUCAGAAGUGCGAAUGCUGACAUAAGUAACGAUAAAGCGGGUGAAAAGCCCGCUCGCCGGAAGACCAAGGGUUCCUGUCCAACGUUAAUCGGGGCAGGGUGAGUCGACCCCUAAGGCGAGGCCGAAAGGCGUAGUCGAUGGGAAACAGGUUAAUAUUCCUGUACUUGGUGUUACUGCGAAGGGGGGACGGAGAAGGCUAUGUUGGCCGGGCGACGGUUGUCCCGGUUUAAGCGUGUAGGCUGGUUUUCCAGGCAAAUCCGGAAAAUCAAGGCUGAGGCGUGAUGACGAGGCACUACGGUGCUGAAGCAACAAAUGCCCUGCUUCCAGGAAAAGCCUCUAAGCAUCAGGUAACAUCAAAUCGUACCCCAAACCGACACAGGUGGUCAGGUAGAGAAUACCAAGGCGCUUGAGAGAACUCGGGUGAAGGAACUAGGCAAAAUGGUGCCGUAACUUCGGGAGAAGGCACGCUGAUAUGUAGGUGAAGUCCCUCGCGGAUGGAGCUGAAAUCAGUCGAAGAUACCAGCUGGCUGCAACUGUUUAUUAAAAACACAGCACUGUGCAAACACGAAAGUGGACGUAUACGGUGUGACGCCUGCCCGGUGCCGGAAGGUUAAUUGAUGGGGUCAGCGCAAGCGAAGCUCUUGAUCGAAGCCCCGGUAAACGGCGGCCGUAACUAUAACGGUCCUAAGGUAGCGAAAUUCCUUGUCGGGUAAGUUCCGACCUGCACGAAUGGCGUAAUGAUGGCCAGGCUGUCUCCACCCGAGACUCAGUGAAAUUGAACUCGCUGUGAAGAUGCAGUGUACCCGCGGCAAGACGGAAAGACCCCGUGAACCUUUACUAUAGCUUGACACUGAACAUUGAGCCUUGAUG
rnacentral:rRNA from 1 species